ACGGAGAAUGCAGUGGGAUCAGAACCCUAGAGUGGGCAUGAAGAGGAGAAAAAACAAAUUCUGAAAUCACCAUGGAAACACUACAGAGAACUCUGGGUUGCUGUUUUAGUUUUUCUGUUUUUUCCCAGGAAGGUAAAAGGUCAGCAACCAUUUGUGAGUGCUGGAAAUCCCACAUAACAGGAAAGGAGAGUAGAGGAGGAGGAGGAGAGAUAAAAUAUUUUAGAGAACAUUUAUAAACAUUCCUUGUAAAGUUGAUAAACAAUCUUUGAAAGACACAGAAUCCAAAAUACAUACGAAGAUUAUGUGGAUUACAAAAGAAAGCACUGCUCAACUUGACCCUAUCAGCUUUACCUGACUUCCUGGGAGGUACAGAACAAGGUACGUAUGGGGAUCCAGCAAUUCUGAAGACUACGCCAUGCCUCCAACAGAGGGCUUCUUGGGUUGAAAGUGUGUGGGUAACAUUUACCAUAACAAUAACUACCACAACUACAGCUAAUAAAUGCACUUAAGCAGA
rnacentral:lncRNA from 1 species